rnacentral:lncRNA from 1 species
CUCUGCCUCCCGGGUUCAAGCGAUUCUCCCGAGUUGCUGGGACCACGGGCUCGUGACGCCACGCCCGGCUAAUUUUUUUGUAUUUUUGGUAGAGACGGGGUUUCACCAUGUGAGCCAGGAUGCUCUCCAUCUCCUGACCUCAUGAUCCGCCCGCCUCGGCCUCCCAAAGUGUUGGGAUUACAAGCGUGAGCCACUGCGCCCGGACUGGAGCUUUUACAAUUUUAACUCCUUAAGGUGAAAAAACGCACUGCUUAUUUUCUUCAAGUCAAAAUGCCUUAAAGGAGCAGUAUCUUGAAUGUGACGUGGCAGACUCAAGGGGAUGCUCUUCAACAUAAAGCAUCAGAAGCCUGAGUAACAUUUUCUGAUCUUGACUCUACGUGACAAGUCGAAAAGAAUUUUUUUCAAUUUAGUUUUUACCAAGUCAGAUUCUAUUUGACAAUAUGGCAGCACUACACAUGGAAAGUAACUUAUUACUUUGGGCAUCUAGUUUAAAUAGAGACAAUCCAUAAUGUGCAUGUGAAAAAAAAUGGCCACUGUUCUUGAAGCAUUGCCCUUGAGCAAGCAACAAGUUUAAAUCUGUCAGUGUGGAAGAAAUUGUUUUUUCUUAAUUGCUUAAUUGUUAACCCUAGGAGAAAAUGACAAUAAAAUUCUACUUCAAAAUGUUUAUGUUUUUGGAAUUACAGGUAUGUAUUAAGGAGUUUUUAAUAAUUCCAAAAAUUGCAUAUAAAAACAAUAUUAUAUAUAAAAUAACAGUAAAAUAAAGGCAUGUUUUAUUAAGAAAGUACAAAUGAUAUGUAUUUUGCCAGAGACAAUAUUUAGAAGAAAAUCGAGUGGCCCUGUGCAGGAGAGGAAGGAAGAGAUUAGAAAUGAGAGAAGCCACCUUAUUUAAUGAAGACUAUAUAAUAAAGACUUCCCUGAUUCCAAACAUUUUGAAAGCCUUAAGGAAAUUUUCUAAUAGAUAUAGGAAAAGUAAUUACCAGUCCAUUAAGUGGCUUAAAUGGUCGACCAUCUUACUGCUGGAUUAGCAAACAAAUUUAGAAGUCAUCAAAAGCUACAAGAUUUUUUUCGUGUUCAUGAUCAUAAAAUACCUCUGUUUCUCUAGAUUCAUUGUGGUUUCAUUACAUUGUUCUUAAUUCAUCAUAUUUUUAAUUGCAUGCAUAUAUAGAUACUAUGUUUGCAUCUACAUAAUAGUGGAAUAUUAAUAAUGAGAAAUUUCAAGGAAAAAUGUUGUAUAAAGAGAUUUUUAUAAUUUUAGGUACAUGUAGAAACCAUAAGUGGAACACUGUAUUAACUGAAUAUCAUUGAGAAACUUCAAGCAAACAUGUUACUGAUAUAAAUUAAAGAAUAAUUGAAAAGGAAAAGACCUCCUUCCUUUUUUCCCCAAAAGAUUAAAACUUCUGCAUAGGUCGCUUCCAAGAUGGACGAAUAGGAACAACUCCAACCUACAGCUCCCAGCGAGAUUGAUGCAGAAGAUGGGCGAUUUCUGCAUUUCCAACUGAGGUCUCUGAAGAAUCUCCAUACCAUCUUCCACAAUUGUUGAACUAAUUUACACUUCCAGUAACAAUGUGACAUGUUGAUGUCUUCAAGAGGCGGACUCCCAUGGCCUUGGUCAGCUCUGACCCUGUGGUUCUGCAGGGUACAGCCUCCCUCCCACUGCUUUCAUGACUGGCAUUAAGUAUCUCCAGCUUUUCCAGGAAUACAGUGCAAGCUGUUGAUAGAUCUACCGUUCUGCGGCCUGGAGAAUUAUGGCACUCUUCUCACAGCUCCACUAGGUUGUGCCCCAGUGGAGACUCUGUGUGUAGACUCUGACCCCACAUUUCCCUUCCACAUUGCCCUAGAAGAGGUUCUCCAUGAAGACUCUGCCCCUGCAGCAAACUACUUCCUAGACAUCCAGGCAUUUCCACACAUCCUUUGAAUUCUAGGCGGAGGUUCCCUAACCUUUAUUCUUGGCUUCUGUGCACUUGCAGGACCAACAACACAUGGAAGCUGCCAAGGCUUGGGGUUUACACCCUCUGAAGCAAUGGCCUGAGCUGCACCUUGGACCUUUUUAGCCAAAGCUGAAGCAGCUGAGAGGCAAGGCCCCAAGUCUCAGGCUUCACACAGUAGGGGGCACCUGGACCUAGCCCAGGAAACUAUUUUUCCCUUAAUGGCAUACCCUCCCAUCACAGGCCCAGAAGCCUAGGACAUAACCUGGAGGCAUUUUCCCCUUUGUCUUGGUGAUUAGAUGCAGCACCCCCAGGGGGAACUUUGCCCCUCCCAUUUGGGCACAACCACUGAAGACUUCCUCAUCUUUGCCACAUAAAAGCCCCAGAACACAGCCCCAUUUCUGGCAACCCUCUUUGGGUCCCCUCUCUUUGCUGAGAACUUUUCUGUUGCUUAAUAAAACUUUGCUCUACAUUAUUCCUUCUCUGGUGUCUGCGUGCUUUAUUCUUCUUGGUCAUGGGACAAGAACUUAGACCUAGUUGAACUGAGGAGCGAUUAGGCUGCAACACUAAUAUCAACCAAAAAAUUAGAGAACAAAGGGCAAACAGACCUCAAAGCUAGCAGAAGACAAGAAACAACCCAAAUCAGAGCAGAUCUGAAGGAGACGGAGACACAGUAAAACUACCCUAAGAACAAUGAAUCCAGGAGGUUGUUUUUUUAAAAAAUUAAUAAAAUAGCUCACCAGCUAGACUAAUAAAGAAGAAAAGAGAAG